UGGGAUAUAGCUCAGCUGGGAGAGCGCCUGCCUUGCACGCAGGAGGUCAGCGGUUCGAUCCCGCUUAUCUCCACCA
rnacentral:tRNA from 2 species